GUCACGAUAGUGGAUUUUACCUUAUGGAUCUGAAGAUGAGACCUUGCAGUGCUUACCAAAGUCCCUGGCCACAAAUCUGCCCUGACUAUCUUCACCUCUAUGAAGAAAUUAGGAGAUCUGGUGCCCCAAGAAAGGACUCAAGACCAGAAUUUCCCAUGUGUUAAUUGUCUACAGCAGCACCCUCUGGGCCAGUUCAGAGGUCUCAAAAAUCAUGAAGAAUCUGAACAUAGGACAAAGGCCCUCAUAUAUUGUUAACAAGAUGGAAACAAUCACACCUCAGAUGUGAGAAAAAAUCAAGGAUCUCAUUAUGUUCAAAUAAAGGAACAGAAUAAGC
rnacentral:lncRNA from 1 species